GCUUACGGCCAUACCACCCUGAACAAGCCCGAUCUCGUCUGAUCUCGGAGGCUAAGCAGGGUCGGGCCUGGUUAGUACUUGGAUGGGACACCGCCUGGGAAUACCAGGUGCUGUAAGCU
rnacentral:rRNA from 1 species